rnacentral:lncRNA from 1 species
GGAAUGGCAAAUCCAUCACUCUCUUUGCCUGUAAAAUGCCAAGGAGACUGAUCUAAGCAGGGGGUUCCCAUCCAUGGCCUGCUCUAGGCCUGAAGGAACACAGAUGGCAUUUGCAGGAAGAUGACAUCUCACCAUCCCCAUCUGAGCAAAGCCUGCCCAUCAAACAACCAAAGGAUAGCCAGUCCCCUGCACAGUGUAAAGUGACUUGCAGUGAUCCUCUUCCCCAAGGCCAGCCCCAGCUCUCAGACCUCCAGUCCCAACAAGUCUUUUUUUGCAAAGGAGGCUCACCCUGGAACAUGGCUCUCCCAAGGGGAGACAGGAACGGAUGUUGACUUCAUCCCAGCAGCUUCUGACACAAUGCCACUAUCUUUCAACUUUCUCCACCAACAGGGUCAGGCUGUUGAUUGGCCUCGACUGCAGUUAGCCUGACACGGCUAGCAGCCUCAAAACAAAUUAAACGAGGCAGGGAUGCCGUGCAGUGAUCGUUCCAUUAUGUCCCCUCUGCUUCCACACGUGACUCACACUAUCACUUUUAGAAGGUGAAGCAUCUUAUUGAAUCAACACCUAAUCUGCACACAGUGUCACGGAGGAGGGGCGAGGGGACAGCGGGAGCAUUUUCUCUGAUCCUUUUCUUUCCUGAAGACUUCGCUGGAGACAGGCUGGGUGGGGGCGAAGAUGAAUUGUGAGGAACCCUGACCCUAUUUCAGGCAAGCAAAGACCACAAGAUUCUUCUGCACAUUUUCUCUUUACACCCUCUAGUACUGCUGCUACUGUCAGCUCCGACAGAUUUAUAGCCCAUUCAUUCAUGGGAACAAAAACCCUGCCACGGCUGGUCAUGGGACACGCAAUAGCAGUUAGUUCAAAAGAUAACAGCUGCAAUACCUCACCUCUCCAUUCAGCACUACAGAGCCAGCACUACUUCG